rnacentral:rRNA from 1 species
UACGUAGGGUGCGAGCGUUGUCCGGAAUUAUUGGGCGUAAAGGGCUCGUAGGCGGUUUGUCGCGUCGGGAGUGAAAACCCAGGGCUUAACUCUGGGCUUGCUUUCGAUACGGGCAGACUAGAGGUAUGCAGGGGAGAACGGAAUUCCUGGUGUAGCGGUGAAAUGCGCAGAUAUCAGGAGGAACACCGGUGGCGAAGGCGGUUCUCUGGGCAUUACCUGACGCUGAGGAGCGAAGUGUGGGGAGCGAACAGG